GUCAACGUGCCAGAGUGGUUAAUGGGCUGCCCUGCUAUUGUCUCGAGCCAUCGAGACUCUCAGCCUAGGCAGUGGCUUCGGUCGCGCAAGUUCGAAUCUUGUCGUUGACG
rnacentral:tRNA from 1 species